AAAGUACUCCCACCGUUCCGAAUUACUCGUCGCAGAAAUGGAUGUAUCUAGAACGAUUACUCGUCACAGAAAUGGAUGUAUUUAAAUGUUUUUUAGUUCUAGAUACAUUCAUUUCUGCGACGAGUAAUUUGAAACGGAGGGAGUAACAU
rfam:Triticum aestivum genome assembly, contig: Triticum_aestivum_CS42_TGACv1_scaffold_558794_7AL